rnacentral:rRNA from 1 species
GACGAACGCUGGCGGCGUGCUUAACACAUGCAAGUCGAACGAUGAACCUCGAAAUGAUUUCUUCGGAAAGAUUUUUGAGAGGAUUAGUGGCGAACGGGUGAGUAACGCGUGAGCAACCUGCCUUAGACAAGGGGAUAGCCUCGGGAAACCGUGAUUAAUACCCUAUGAGACUCCACUUACGAGUGUAAGAGAAGUUAAAGCUAUUGCGGUCUAAGAUGGGCUCGCGUCUGAUUAGCUAGUUGGUGAGAUAAAAGCCCACCAAGGCGACGAUCAGUAACCGGCUUGAGAGAGUGAACGGUCACAUUGGAACUGAGACACGGUCCAAACUCCUACGGGAGGCAGCAGUGGGGAAUAUUGCACAAUGGGGGCAACCCUGAUGCAGCGACGCCGCGUGAGAGAUGAAGGAAUUCGUUUCGUAAAGCUCUGUCCUUGGAGAAGAUAAUGACGGUAACCAAGGAGGAAGCACCGGCUAAAUACGUG